CAAUAGCAUAUAUUAACGUUGUUGCAGUUGAAAAGCUCGUAGUUGAACUUUUGGUAGGAGCGACCUGGCCUUGGGCGCAUGCCCUUGUUUGCCGUGUGUCGUAUCUGGCCAUCCUUUUCUUCGUUUUUCGGAGGAAUCUUUUACUGUGAGUAAACUGGAGUGCUCAAAACAAGACGUUUGUUUGGUACAUUAAAGCAUGGAAUAAUAAGAUAGGACCUGGUUACUAUUUUGUUGGUUUGCAUAGCUAGGUAAUGAUUAACAGGGACAGUUGGGGGUAUUCGUAUUUAAUUGUCAGAGGUGAAAUUCUUGGAUUUAUGAAAGACGAACGACUGCGAAAGCAUUUACCAAGGAUGUUUUCAUUAA
rnacentral:rRNA from 1 species